CCGGCGAGGGGAGUGAAAAAGAACCUGAAACCGUGUACGUACAAGCAGUGGGAGCACAGAGCAAUCUGUGUGACUGCGUACCUUUUGUAUAAUGGGUCAGCGACUUAUAUUCUGUAGCAAGGUUAACCGAAUAGGGGAGCCGAAGGGAAACCGAGUCUUAACUGGGCGUUAAGUUGCAGGGUAUAGACCCGAAACCCGGUGAUCUAGCCAUGGGCAGGUUGAAGGUUGGGUAACACUAACUGGAGGACCGAACCGACUAAUGUUGAAAAAUUAGCGGAUGACUUGUGGCUGGGGGUGAAAGGCCAAUCAAACCGGGAGAUAGCUGGUUCUCCCCGAAAGCUAUUUAGGUAGCGCCUCGUGAAUUCAUCUCCGGGGGUAGAGCACUGUUUCGGCAAGGGGGUCAUCCCGACUUACCAACCCGAUGCAAACUGCGAAUACCGGAGAAUGUUAUCACGGGAGACACACGGCGGGUGCUAACGUCCGUCGUGAAGAGGGAAACAACCCAGACCGCCAGCUAAGGUCCCAAAGUCAUGGUUAAGUGGGAAACGAUGUGGGAAGGCCCAGACAGCCAGGAUGUUGGCUUAGAAGCAGCCAUCAUUUAAAGAAAGCGUAAUAGCUCACUGGUCGAGUCGGCCUGCGCGGAAGAUGUAACGGGGCUAAACCAUGCACCGAAGCUGCGGCAGCGACACUGUGUGUUGUUGGGUAGGGGAGCGUUCUGUAAGCCUGUGAAGGUGUGCUGUGAGGCAUGCUGGAGGUAUCAGAAGUGCGAAUGCUGACAUAAGUAACGAUAAAGCGGGUGAAAAGCCCGCUCGCCGGAAGACCAAGGGUUCCUGUCCAACGUUAAUCGGGGCAGGGUGAGUCGACCCCUAAGGCGAGGCCGAAAGGCGUAGUCGAUGGGAAACAGGUUAAUAUUCCUGUACUUGGUGUUACUGCGAAGGGGGGACGGAGAAGGCUAUGUUGGCCGGGCGACGGUUGUCCCGGUUUAAGCGUGUAGGCUGGUUUUCCAGGCAAAUCCGGAAAAUCAAGGCUGAGGCGUGAUGACGAGGCACUACGGUGCUGAAGCAACAAAUGCCCUGCUUCCAGGAAAAGCCUCUAAGCAUCAGGUAACAUCAAAUCGUACCCCAAACCGACACAGGUGGUCAGGUAGAGAAUACCAAGGCGCUUGAGAGAACUCGGGUGAAGGAACUAGGCAAAAUGGUGCCGUAACUUCGGGAGAAGGCACGCUGAUAUGUAGGUGAAGUCCCUCGCGGAUGGAGCUGAAAUCAGUCGAAGAUACCAGCUGGCUGCAACUGUUUAUUAAAAACACAGCACUGUGCAAACACGAAAGUGGACGUAUACGGUGUGACGCCUGCCCGGUGCCGGAAGGUUAAUUGAUGGGGUCAGCGCAAGCGAAGCUCUUGAUCGAAGCCCCGGUAAACGGCGGCCGUAACUAUAACGGUCCUAAGGUAGCGAAAUUCCUUGUCGGGUAAGUUCCGACCUGCACGAAUGGCGUAAUGAUGGCCAGGCUGUCUCCACCCGAGACUCAGUGAAAUUGAACUCGCUGUGAAGAUGCAGUGUACCCGCGGCAAGACGGAAAGACCCCGUGAACCUUUACUAUAGCUUGACACUGAACAUUGAGCCUUGAUGUGUAGGAUAGGUGGGAGGCUUUGAAGUGUGGACGCCAGUCUGCAUGGAGCCGACCUUGAAAUACCACCCUUUAAUGUUUGAUGUUCUAACGUGGACCCGUGAUCCGGGUUGCGGACAGUGUCUGGUGGGUAGUUUGACUGGGGCGGUCUCCUCCUAAAGAGUAACGGAGGAGCACGAAGGUUGGCUAAUCCUGGUCGGACAUCAGGAGGUUAGUGCAAUGGCAUAAGCCAGCUUGACUGCGAGCGUGACGGCGCGAGCAGGUGCGAAAGCAGGUCAUAGUGAUCCGGUGGUUCUGAAUGGAAGGGCCAUCGCUCAACGGAUAAAAGGUACUCCGGGGAUAACAGGCUGAUACCGCCCAAGAGUUCAUAUCGACGGCGGUGUUUGGCACCUCGAUGUCGGCUCAUCACAUCCUGGGGCUGAAGUAGGUCCCAAGGGUAUGGCUGUUCGCCAUUUAAAGUGGUACGCGAGCUGGGUUUAGAACGUCGUGAGACAGUUCGGUCCCUAUCUGCCGUGGGCGCUGGAGAACUGAGGGGGGCUGCUCCUAGUACGAGAGGACCGGAGUGGACGCAUCACUGGUGUUCGGGUUGUCAUGCCAAUGGCACUGCCCGGUAGCUAAAUGCGGAAGAGAUA
rnacentral:rRNA from 1 species